UAAAAGUCAAAAGACUGACUUCUGAUGAGACCUGAUGUAACACCCGUGUAAUUCUCCCCUUUGAAACUAACUUCAAACUCCAGUUUGUGAACAAAGUCCUGUCUGUCUUCUGAAUAGGAAUCUGAAUAGUCCGACCACUGACCAAACUCCAUUUGUUAACCACUGCCUAUUUGUACCUUCCACUGAAUGACUCUUUUUCAUUCCAUACGUCCGAUCCCAAUGGAAAGAGCUACUGAAGCUAAAAGAGAAUAAGUGGAGACAACAACUGGAGGAAAACCAAGAGUCAAUAAUAUUUGGAAUAUACUGUAUGGGAACAUUUUAGGAGAGCUCCAGCACAGGGCAAAUUUCUAGGGUUUCAAAUAUGGAAGUUAGCCACUGGCUGCGUUAUAAUGAGGAAGGUGGUGUUGGUGCAAGGUAAGGCCCCAGCAUUAGGUAGGUACUUCCAGCUGUUAUCUUAUUGAUUUUUCUACUCUGAGAAAAAUGUGGGUGGAGAUGUUAAACAGUAACCAGGCUCAUAAAGAGACCACAUAUAUAUGGCAGGAAGCUAUCGCUAUAGCAACAAGAUGGUAGAAACAAAAAGCCUGUCUGUAGGCACGUUUAUUUUAUUAAUGUGCAUUGAGUAAAGGAAGGAAGGAAGAACAGGAGUAAAUGAAGAACUCCCCUGCAAGAGGGAAGGUGGAAAAAAGGGACAUGAAAGAGAGAGAGAGGACUUGAGAGGGUGUCACCUCCCCACCUCAGGAUGGUGAGUGUGAAUUAAGUUUCUAAUGUUUUGGUUGAGAAGUACUCCUAUUCUCUCCAGGUUACGCAAUGAAUGAACAGAAAAACACUGCACAAAUACAAUAACAUACAAAUAUCCCUGUGAAUAGCAGUAAGUUGAUAACUUGACCUGUACCAUGUUUUCUUCUCACACUGAUAUUGUUACAAAAUAGUUCAUUCGUUUACCUUGUGGGAACUUUCACUUUUGGUUGCAUGUAUGGGUCAGUUGCUGUCCUGAAAUGGAAUUUCCCAUGUUGGCCAUUUCCCACAGAAUCAGAUAUCCUCUGAAAAUGUUGAAAUGUUUGUUGAUUGAGUAGGAGUCGUAUAAUUUCACUCUUCAAAUAUAUUUUACAAGCAUGAACAUGUAAAGAGGGGUGUAUGCAGUACAUAUUAAGACUUUAUGGUAGAAUAUUGGGUUAUCGGUGUGAACCAUUUUGGACAUGGAAUAAAAUAUACAAAUCAUAUUUUCA